rnacentral:rRNA from 1 species
AACGAACGCUGGCGGCAGGCUUAACACAUGCAAGUCGAGCGCCCCGCAAGGGGAGCGGCAGACGGGUGAGUAACGCGUGGGAACGUACCCUUUGCUACGGAAUAGCUCCGGGAAACUGGAAUUAAUACCGUAUGUGCCCUACGGGGGAAAGAUUUAUCGGCAAAGGAUCGGCCCGCGUUGGAUUAGCUAGUUGGGGGGUAAUGGCCUACCAAGGCGACGAUCCAUAGCUGGUCUGAGAGGAUGAUCAGCCACAUUGGGACUGAGACACGGCCCAAACUCCUACGGGAGUCAGCAGUGGGGAAUAUUGGACAAUGGGCGCAAGCCUGAUCCAGCCAUGCCGCGUGAGUGAUGAAGGCCUUAGGGUUGUAAAGCUCUUUCACCGGAGAAGUUAAUGACGGUAUCCGGAGAAGAAGCCCCGGCUAACUUCGUGCCAGCCGCCGCAGUAAGAC